AACAGGAGUAUGUAAAAUGCAUUAUAUAUAUUGUAGGUACACCCUACAGUAACCUUUUACUAAAAAACAUAGAAAUACUGUAGGCCACUGCAUGCCAUUCCACACACCAUGCAUAAUAUAUAUAUUUUUUCCUGCAUUAACAAAUGCUGAGAGCGUUGCUGGUACGUCCAGUCAGAGCAUGCGCGAUGACGAUAGAAGUGUGGCGGUCGUACAUCUUAUAAUGUUGCUGCCAG
rnacentral:lncRNA from 1 species